rnacentral:rRNA from 1 species
UCAGGACGAACGCUGGCGGCGUGCUUAACACAUGCAAGUCGAACGAUGACGGUGGUGCUUGCACCGCCUGAUUAGUGGCGAACGGGUGAGUAACACGUGAGUAACCUGCCCUCCACUUCGGGAUAACCUCGGGAAAUCGUGGCUAAUACCGGAUAUGAGCACUCAUCGCAUGGUGAGUGCUGGAAAGAUUUAUCGGUGGGGGAUGGACUCGCGGCCUAUCAGUUUGUUGGUGAGGUGAUGGCUCACCAAGACGAUGACGGGUAGCCGGCCUGAGAGGGCGACCGGCCACACUGGGACUGAGACACGGCCCAGACUCCUACGGGAGGCAGCAGUGGGGAAUAUUGCACAAUGGGCGAAAGCCUGAUGCAGCGACGCCGCGUGGGGGAUGACGGCCUUCGGGUUGUAAACCCCUUUCAGUAGGGAAGAAGCGAGAGUGACGGUACCUGCAGAAGAAGCGCCGGCUAACUACGUGCCAGCAGCCGCGGUAAUACGUAGGGCGCAAGCGUUGUCCGGAAUUAUUGGGCGUAAAGAGCUUGUAGGUGGCUUGUCGCGUCUGCCGUGAAAACCCGAGGCUCAACCUCGGGCGUGCGGUGGGUACGGGCAGGCUAGAGUGUGGUAGGGGAGACUGGAACUCCUGGUGUAGCGGUGAAAUGCGCAGAUAUCAGGAAGAACACCGAUGGCGAAGGCAGGUCUCUGGGCCAUUACUGACACUAGAAGC